CCUACGGGCGGCAGCAGUGAGGAAUCUUGGUCAAUGGGCGUAAGCCUGAACCAGCCAAGUCGCGUGAGGGAUGAAGGUUCUAUGGAUCGUAAACCUCUUUUAUAAGGGAAUAAAGUGCGGGACGUGUCCCGUUUUGUCUGUACCUUAUGAUUAAGGAUAGGCUAACUCCGUGCCAGCAGCCGCGGUAAUACGGAGGCUCCGAGCGUUAUCCGGAUUUAUUGGGUUUAAAGGGUGCGUAGGCGGCCUUUUAAGUACGCGGGGAAAGUCUUUGGCUCAACCAUAGAAUUGCCGUGGAAACUGGGAGGCUUGAGUGUGUGUGAGGCAGGCGGAAUGCGUGGUGUAGCGGUGAAAUGCUUAGAUAUCACGCAGAACCCCGAUGGCGAAGGCAGCCUGCCAAGCCAUGACUGACGCUGAUGCACGAAAGCGUGGGGAUCAAACAGGAUUAGAUACCCGGGUAGUC
rnacentral:rRNA from 1 species